UUCCGGUUGAUCCUGCCGGACCUGACUGCUAUCGGAUUGAUACUAGGCCAUGCGAGUCAUUGUAGCAAUACAAGGCAUACGGCUCAGUAACGCGUAGUCAACCUACCCUAUGGACGGAAAUAACCUCGGGAAACUGAGAAUAAUAUCCGAUAGAACAUUAUGCCUGGAAUGGUUUAUGUUCCAAAUGAUUUAUCGCCGUAGGAUGGGACUGCGGCCUAUCAGUUUGUUGGUGAGGUAAUGGCCCACCAAGACUAUUACAGGUACGGGCUCUGAGAGGAGUAGCCCGGAGAUGUGUACUGAGACACGGACCCAGGCCCUAUGGGGCGCAGCAGGCGAGAAAACUUUGCAAUGUGCGAAAGCACGACAAGGUUAAUCCGAGUGAUUUCUGCUAAAGAAAUCUUUUGUUAGUCCUAGAAACACUAACGAAUAAGGGGUGGGCAAGUUCUGGUGUCAGCCGCCGCGGUAAAACCAGCACCUCAAGUGGUCAGGAUGAUUAUUGGGCCUAAAGCAUCCGUAGCCGGCUCUGUAAGUCCUCGGUUAAAUCUGUACGCUUAACGUACAGGCUGCCGGGAAUACUGCAUAGCUAGGGAGUGGGAGAGGUAGACGGUACUCGGUAGGAAGGGGUAAAAUCCUUUGAUCUAUUGAUGACCACCUGUGGCGAAGGCGGUCUACCAGAACACGUCCGACGGUGAGGGAUGAAAGCUGGGGGAGCAAACCGGAUUAGAUACCCGGGUAGUCCCAGCUGUAAACUAUGCAAACUCAGUGAUGCAUUGGCUUGUGGCCAAUGCAGUGCUGCAGGGAAGCCGUUAAGUUUGCCGCCUGGGAAGUACGUACGCAAGUAUGAAACUUAAAGGAAUUGGCGGGGGAGCACCACAAGGGGUGAAGCCUGCGGUUCAWUUGGAGUCAACGCCGG
rnacentral:rRNA from 2 species